rnacentral:rRNA from 1 species
AUGGGGAGUUGCCGGAAUAUGACAGUGAUGUGCAAAAUAUGGUGGAUCACUUCAUCACAAGCGAACAGGGCCACCUACUCCCGCACGAACAUGGCGAUGAGAUGCAUGGCCUGCUGGGAGCCACUACCAACAUGGGCAACACUGACGAUGCCAACGCUGCUGCUGCAGACAAAGGCAACAAUAACGAUGAAGAGACCAAUCAUGUGCAGAGAAUGUGUGUUCCAAGAAAGCCCUUAUCCAGAUGCGGAACUCCGGAAAGACCUUAGCGAGAGGCUUCACAUGAGUGCCCCGCAGGUCAAGUUUUGGUUCCAAAACAAACGCUCCUCUAGCAAGGGCAAGAGGCAACUACAGGACACCAAGAAUCUUCAGGGAGAGAACCAGAUGCUAAAAGAUGAAAACCAAGCCAUCAAGUGGGUCGCUGAAAACAAGACAUGCCUCAAAUGCGCAGGGGUGAUGCUAAAAACUCAGGAUACCUCGGAGCACCAACGCUUAUGUACAGAGAAUAUGAGGCUCAAGGAAGAACUCCGCCGUGCCACCGCCUAUCUUAAAGAACUCAGCAUGAGGCCCCAAUUUACCCGCGACUAA